UAUCGACUCAGUUGGACUUUGCCCAAGGCCACAGUUCCAAGUGGGGGUUCUGCCAAAGGCCAACAUCCGAGUUGAGAAAAAAAAUCUACCGGCACCACUUCCCUGGCUCCUCAGUCUGGAUUGUUAAUUAAUUACAGAUGAAGUUUUCUGCCCACUUUUGUCCAUGACAGGCCAAAAGAAAGACCAACCAAAUCCUUCCGAGAUUUCACGGCGACCACUACUGCAGGGAGAUCGCUUGGUGGGUUCGGUGAUAAUGCAUCUGCAGAACUGACCCUUCAGAGCAGUGUGGGAAACUGUCAUACAAGUGUAAAGAGGACCACCCACCUACCACUGGGCCCUUUGAGUAUGGUCAACCCCAUGAGGUGUAAAUGUAAGACCACAGGAGAAAAUAGGCUUCUAUGUCAGAUUACAUAUUCCUUCUCAGCUCCAGCAGAAAGCUAACAAACACUGAGGGAUCUCAUCAAGAUGGCGGUGUAAGCAGACUCUGAACUCAUCUCCUGCCAUGAACACAACCAGGCUACAACUAUUUCUGGAAAAAUUACCCUGGAGAGAAAACUGAAAACUGGAUAAAAAGAACCCCCACAAUGAGGGACAGUCUUGACUGAGGUGGAAGAGGCAGAAAUUCCUGCUGGAGAGGAAAAAAGCCACCUUUGGGAGCAGCAGAGCUUCUCAGCUGGCCAGGUGGGAGCCACCCUAAGGUAUGCAGCCCUCCCUGGAGGAGUGAGGUCCACAAGCAUCCUUCAGACUCAACCCAACUGAGACAGAGGUCUUACUGUCUCGCUUUGCUGGCUAUUAACUGCAGCGGGGACACCCCCAGAAAAGCUAUCAGCCAAAAGCCAAAAAGACCCGGGUCUUAAAGGGCCCACGCACAAACUCACUCAUUGCAGCAACCUAAAAUCACCAGAGAGAAGGCUGACAGUCCUUUGGUGAAACAAGACUCACCUGGUGGGUUCUGGGGGCAUCUUGGUGAGAGGAGGGACCUCUCCGGAGACUGAGACAUUGGUGGGGGCCAUUGUUCUGAGCUGGUCCAGGCGUGCUGACACAGACCCUGGUGGGUGCCAUUGAGGUUCAUCCCUUGGCCUCUUAGCCCAGGGGUCUGCCAUGCCCACCAGAGGACAGAUUUAAUCCAGUUCAGCCAAGGCAGGCAACCGGCCCUAGGGAUUGGCCC
rnacentral:lncRNA from 1 species